rnacentral:rRNA from 1 species
CCUACGGGGGGCAGCAGUGGGGAAUAUUGCACAAUGGGGGAAACCCUGAUGCAGCGACGCCGCGUGAGUGAAGAAGUAUCUCGGUACGUAAAGCUCUAUCAGCAGGGAAGAAAAUGACGGUACCUGACUAAGAAGCCCCGGCUAACUACGUGCCAGCAGCCGCGGUAAUACGUAGGGGGCAAGCGUUAUCCGGAUUUACUGGGUGUAAAGGGAGCGUAGACGGCUGUGCAAGUCUGGAGUGAAAGGCGGGGGCCCAACCCCCGGACUGCUCUGGAAACUGUAUGGCUGGAGUGCAGGAGAGGUAA